AGCGCAGACGGUUGAUUAAGUCUGAUGCGAAAGCCCGGAGCUCAACUCCGGAAUGGCACUGGAAACUGGUUAACUUGAGUGCAGUAGAGGUAAGUGGAACUCCAUGUGUAGCGGUGGAAUGCGUAGAUAUAUGGAAGAACACCAGUGGCGAAGGCGGCUUACUGGACUGUAACUGACGUUGAGGCUCGAAAGUGUGGGUAGCAAAC
rnacentral:rRNA from 1 species